CUCCUCGGUUUUUUCUUUGUUGUUUAUCCGCUUAUGUUAGCCUGCGCUUUCCACCUAGACAGAAACAGAGAACAUGUUUCAGCCAACACAAAGCUCCUAUUUCCAGACUUGCUGUUUUUGGAGCACUGUCACCCCCUUACAGUGAGCAGAUGGGAGCUCUCUUUUGCAAGUACUGUACUGAGAACAGGAAGUCACCGCAUGUCCUCACAGCAGCACGGCGAGGGGUCCUGCAAAAGGAUUGGUCAUUUAUUCUGGCCAGGCAAUUCUUUUCUGUGCUGAAGGAAGUGAUUUUCUUUCUAACUUUGAUGGGACUAAAGCCUACCACCAUCCAAAAAGACAUUUAUAAAAAAAUGACUCUACUCUACAUUCAACAGUGUUGAAGAUCACAGUAUUUUUACCGCAGCGUGUUGGCCAUGGUAAAUGCAGUCAUGUUUUCAUAAGGGUUGCCUUGGAAAAGUUUGUAUGUUAUUAUACAGGGCAGAAGAAGAUGACAAACAAAAACACAAAUU
rnacentral:lncRNA from 1 species